GUGAGAUUUUCAACUCCGUGUAUAAGACGACCCCCCUUCUUAGCCCCUUCAUUUUAGGUACGAAAAACUCGCCUUAUACACAGCGAUAUACGGUACUAUUGCCCGGAUUAUCAUCGCCAACACGCCCCCUCCACCUGCAGCAUUGAUUACCGUCGUCAACACGCCCCCUCCACCUGCAGCAUUGAUUACCGUCGUCAACACGCCCCCUCCACCUGCAGCAUUGAUUACCAUCGUCAACACGCCCCCUCCACCUGCAGCAUUGAUUACCAUCGUCAACACGCCCCCUCCACCUGCAAGCAUAUUAUAGCUUCCCAUCGCCACCAUGCACUUCACCUGCAGCACAGCUUCCCAUCGCCACCAUGCACUUCACCUGCAGCACAGCUUCCCAUCGCCACCAUGCACUUCACCUGCAGCAUAGCUUCCCAUCGCCACCAUGCACUUCACCUGCAGCAUAGCUUCCCAUCGCCACCAUGCACUUCACCUGCAGCACAGCUUCCCAUCGCCACCAUGCACUUCACCUGCAGCACAGCUUCCCAUCGCCACCAUGCACUUCACCUGCAGCAGAGACCAUCGCCACCAUGCACUUCACCUGCAGCAUAGCUUCCCAUUGCCACUAUGCACUUCACCUGCAGCAUAGCUUCCCAUCGCCACCAUGCACUUCACCUGCAGCAUAGCUUCCCAUCGCCACCAUGCACUUCACCUGCAGCAUAGCUUCCCAUUGCCACUAUGCACUUCACCUGCAGCAUAGCUUCCCAUCGCCACCAUGCACUUCACCUGCAGCAUAGCUUCCCAUCGCCACCAUGCACUUCACCUGCAGCAUAGCUUCCCAUUGCCACCAUGCACUUCACCUGCAGCAUAGCUACCCAUCGCCACCAUGCACUUCACCUGCAGCAUAGCUUCCCAUCGCCACCAUGCACUUCACCUGCAGCAUAGCUUCCCAUCGCCACCAUGCACUUCACCUGCAGCAUAGCUACCCAUCGCCACCAUGCACUUCACCUGCAGCAGAGACCAUCGCCACCAUGCACUUCACCUGCAGCACAGCUUCCCAUCGCCACCAUGCACUUCACCUGCAAGCAUAGCUUCCCAUCGCCACCAUGCACUUCACCUGCAGCAUAGCUUCCCAUCGCCACCAUGCACUUCACCUGCAGCAUAGCUUCCCAUCGCCACCAUGCACUUCACCUGCAGCAGAGACCAUCGCCACCAUGCACUUCACCUGCAGCAGAGACCAUCGCCACCAUGCACUUCACCUGCAGCAUAGCUUCCCAUCGCCACCAUGCACUUCACCUGCAGCAUAGCUUCCCAUCGCCACCAUGCACUUCACCUGCAGCAUAGCUUCCCAUUGCCACUAUGCACUUCACCUGCAGCACAGCUUCCCAUCGCCACCAUGCACUUCACCUGCAGCAUAGCUUCCCAUCGCCACCAUGCACUUCACCUGCAGCAUAGCUUCCCAUCGCCACCAUGCACUUCACCUGCAGCAUAGCUUCCCAUCGCCACCAUGCACUUCACCUGCAGCAGAGACCAUCUCCAAGAAAAGGAAGAAGACAAUGUCUGGCCCCCCUUCUGCAAAACACUGACUGGUGCUCACAGAUAGUGCAACAGAGCUUUGUAGAAGCUCAGGACAUCGACUCCCUGAGGAGGAUCAACACAGAGCUCUGUAUCCAUGCCCCAUGCAGGCGUCCAGGCUAACAAGGAUGUCAGACCUGAUGCACAACACCAACCCGAUGUGCCGCCGUCAUGAUGCACAACACCAACCCGAUGUGCCGCCGUCAUGGUGCACAACACCAACCCGAUGUGCCGUCAUCAUGCACAACACCAACCCGAUGUGCCGCCGUCAUGGUGCACAACACCAACCCGAUGUGCCGCCGUCAUGGUGCACAACACCAACCCGAUGUGCCGUCAUGAUGCACAACACCAACCGGAUGUGCCGUCAUGAUGCACAACACCAACCCGAUGUGUGGCCGUCAUGGUGCACAACACCAACCCGAUGUGCCGCCGUCAUGGUGCACAACACCAACCCGAUGUGCCGUCAUGGUGCACAACACCAACCCGAUGUGUGGCCGUCAUGAUGCACAACACCAACCCGAUGUGUGGCCGUCAUGAUGCACAACACCAACCCGAUGUGCCGACGUCAUGGUGCACAACACCAACCCGAUGUGCCGUCAUGGUGCAGAUGGGGCUGCUGUCAGACAAAGGAAAUAAGUGUUGCCAUAGAGACCAGAUGCAAAGUGAGCCAGCCAUAUGGACACUGUGACCACAACAGAAUGUUUCUUGGCAGCAUUCUUAACCCCAUAGCACGAUGGAGGCGUGGUUAUUUUAUGUCAUGAUGCCCAGGUCAGCAACAAGGCCUUCAGGUGCCAUGCCUGCAGAAGUUACUUUCUUGACCCAUGGGGUCCUGGGACCAAGGAACAGAAAGGUUGCCCCUAAGGGCCCUGAUGUGUGCUGGCAAUUCACAGCCAAUCCAGAUCCCAGAGGACAAUACACUGGACUUAAACUAGCCUGAAAUUUUCAUUUGAACAUUUAAAACGGUGACGUUUGCACAAAUUAUUUGAAGUUUCUUAUUUGAAUGAAUGACCUCAUCCUGAUGAUCAAAUUUGUAAAGUACUUUUCUUAAAUGUGAAUGACAGCAUUAAAAUGUAUCUUAAAAGUGUAAAUUUGCUUUGUCACUGUUGACAUAUGUAUGUGUACAUACAUUUCUUCUUGGAAUGUUUUAUGUACUUGCUUUUGUGUUUAUAUGUGAUAUACAUUGCCAAACAGUUGUAUCUUUUCUCACUGGAUGUUUCAUUAUGUAUAUAUCAGACUUGACCACGGAACCAUACUGUUUACAUUGUAGCUGGCCGGUGGAUGUAUUUUUAAUUCAUGCCAUAUUUGCCAUGUUACUGCUUCUAUGCAUCCAGCCACACGUUAAUAAAAUAUUUUUCUUCUUC
rnacentral:lncRNA from 1 species